UCUAUAUUUAUGUUCUAGGUACUGGGGACACACAGAUGGAAUUAAGCAAGGCUAGAAAACGUAUUAUCUUUGAAGACAGCUAAAGGAGCAGCCCAGUGGUUUUCAAGAAGUGCUAAAGUGCACUGACUGUCUCAUGAUGACUGGUGCCUCAGGGAGGGUCAUGAUUCCUGGAUACAGGAUCGACCUGAUCCUGGAUGUCACUUCAAGCAGUCAGAUCGUGGGGAAAAGCCUUGUCUAAUGGCUAGCCUUCCUCAAAAGUCUGAUGCUAGUCAUCUCGGAAGGCCUCAGAAAAAGCCUUAAAGCUUCAUUUACCUCUUAAUUCUCCUUUGCCUGGAAGUGAAUUGACCAAGGAACCUUUUCGUUGGGAUCAGAGACUCUUUGCAUUAGUGUUGCGGUUGCCUGGCACCAUGUCAGUAGAAUCAGAACAGUUGACAGGUGUGCCUUUAGAUGACUCUGCAAUCACACCAAUGUGUGAAGUGACAGGCGGCCGUUCAUAUUCUGUGUGUUCUCCAAGAAUGCUUAAUCAGUGUCUGGAGUCCUUGGUGCAGAAAGUACAAAGUGGGGUGGUAAUAAACUUUGAAAAAGCAGGACCAGAUCCUUCCCCUGUAGAAGGUAUUAUUGCACUUUUCUUUUAGACAUUCAAAACUUGCUUUAUUGUUUAUUCAACUAGAACUGAAAACUUACUGUGAUUUGGCCUUAAGAUAGGCAGGGCCAAAUUGUUAAGACAGAAAGGCUGUUGGUAAAGAGGGAAGAUUAAAUAGGAAAGUCAAGGUAAACUAACAGUAGUCUAGUAGCAUCACCUUUUUGUAUUAAUGAUUGUCUAUUGCCUGACAUUUUG
rnacentral:lncRNA from 1 species